rnacentral:rRNA from 1 species
GACGAACGCUGGCGGCGUGCUUAACACAUGCAAGUCGAACGGAAAGGCCCUGCUUUUGUGGGGUGCUCGAGUGGCGAACGGGUGAGUAACACGUGAGUAACCUGCCCUUGACUUUGGGAUAACUUCAGGAAACUGGGGCUAAUACCGGAUAGGAGCUCCUGCUGCAUGGUGGGGGUUGGAAAGUUUCGGCGGUUGGGGAUGGACUCGCGGCUUAUCAGCUUGUUGGUGGGGUAGUGGCUUACCAAGGCUUUGACGGGUAGCCGGCCUGAGAGGGUCACCGGCCACAUUGGGACGGAGAUACGGCCCAGACUCCUACGGGAGGCAGCAGUGGGGAAUAUUGCACAAUGGGCGGAAGCCUGAUGCAGCAACGCCGCGUGCGGGAUGACGGCCUUCGGGUUGUAAACCGCUUUCGCCUGUGACGAAGCGUGAGUGACGGUAAUGGGUAAAGAAGCACCGGCUAACUACGUG